AAGUCACAAGAAAUAAAAUUGUCAUUCAUCUUAAACAAUCAAUAUCUUUACAUGCAAAUGCCAUCAAAAGGACUUUCCAAGACUUUCCAAAAGAAGAAUUGGUUUUUCUGGAAUGCAAAAUCCUUGAGUCAAGAGAGCUCUAAUAGUAUUCCUCAAUUAAGCACAACUCUCUUCCUCAUCAAUCUCACUCAUUCCCAACUUCUUUCCCUUCUCUUUUUCAUUGAGCUCAUCUUCAUGCUUUUUCUUAUUCUUUUCUUUUUCACAUGCAUUUUUCUUUUUCAACAAUUGAGCUCAAUGCUUCUUAACAGCUUUUCAAUUUCCCCCAUGCAACCCCAAACUUGAACCUUUUCAUCACAUACAGUUAAGCUCAUCCCAAC
rnacentral:lncRNA from 1 species